GACGAACGCUGGCGGCGUGCCUAAUACAUGCAAGUAGAACGCACAGUUUAUACCGUAGCUUGCUACACCAUAGACUGUGAGUUGCGAACGGGUGAGUAACGCGUAGGUAACCUGCCUGGUAUCGGGUGAUAACUAUUGGAAACGAUAGCUAAUACCUCAUAAUAUUGAUUAUUGCAUGGUAAUUGAUUGAAAUGUGCAAUUGCACCACUAGCAGAUGGACCUGCGUUGUAUUAGCUAGUAGGUAAGGUAACGGCUUACCUAGUCGACGAUACAUAGCCGACUUGGGAGGGGGACCGGCAACACUGGAACGAAGACACGGCCCAGACUCCUACGGGAGGCAGCGGUAGGGAAUCUUCGGCAAUGGGCGAAAGCCUGACGGAGCAAGGCCGCUUGAUGGAUGAAGUUUUUCGGAUCUUAAGCUCUGUUGUAAGAGAAGAACGGGUGUGAGAGUGGAAAGUUCACACUGUGACGGUAUCUUACCAGAAAGGGACGGCUAACUACGUG
rnacentral:rRNA from 1 species